rnacentral:rRNA from 1 species
GUAGGUGGCAAGCGUUGUCCGGAAUUAUUGGGCGUAAAGCGCGCGCAGGCGGUUCGUUUAAGUCUGAUGUGAAAGCCCACGGGCUCAACCGUGGAGGGUCAUUGGAAACUGGAGAACUUGAGUACAGAAGAGGAAAGCGGAAUUCCACGUGUAGCGGUGAAAUGCGUAGAGAUGUGGAGGAACACCAGUGGCGAAGGCGGCUUUCCGGUCUGUAACUGACGCUGAGGCGCGAAAGCGUGGGGAGCAAACAGGAUUAGAUACCCUGGUAGUCCACGCCGUAAACGAUGAGUGCUAAGUGUUAGGGGGUUUCCGCCCCUUAGUGCUGCAGCUAACGCAUUAAGCACUCCGCCUGGGGAGUACGGCCGCAAAGGCUG